rnacentral:rRNA from 1 species
AGUGAACGCUGGCGGUAGGCCUAACACAUGCAAGUCGAACGGCAGCACAGUAAGAGCUUGCUCUUACGGGUGGCGAGUGGCGGACGGGUGAGGAAUACAUCGGAAUCUACUUUUUCGUGGGGGAUAACGUAGGGAAACUUACGCUAAUACAGCAUACGACCUACGGGUGAAAGCAGGGGAUCUUCGGACCUUGCGCGAUUGAAUGAGCCGAGGUCGGAUUAGCUAGUUGGCGGGGUAAAGGCCCACCAAGGCGACGAUCCGUAGCUGGUCUGAGAGGAUGAUCCGCCAGACGGGAACUGAGACAGGUCACCGACUCCGGCGGGAGGCAGCAGUGGGGAAUAUUGGGCGAUGGGGGAAAGCCUGAUACAGCAAUACCGCGUGGGUGAAGAAGGACUUCGGGUUGUAAAGCCAUGUUGUUGGGAAAGAAAAGCAGCAGGUUAAUCCCGCGCUGUUCUGACGGUACCCAAAGAAUAAGCACCGGCUAACUUCGUG